rnacentral:rRNA from 1 species
CAGUAGCCGCGGUAAUACAGAGGGUGCGAGCGUUAAUCGGAUUUACUGGGCGUAAAGCGUGCGUAGGCGGCUUUUUAAGUCGGAUGUGAAAUCCCUGAGCUUAACUUAGGAAUUGCAUUCGAUACUGGGAAGCUAGAGUAUGGGAGAGGAUGGUAGAAUUCAAGGUGUAGCGGUGAAAUGCGUAGAGAUCUGGAGGAAUACCGAUGGCGAAGGCAGCCAUCUGGCCUAAUACUGACGCUGAGGUACGAAAGCAUGGGGAGCAAACAGGAUUAGAUACCCCUGUAGUCCCUGUCUCUUAUAC